rnacentral:lncRNA from 1 species
CAGGCCGCUGACUCAUCUCCGAUUCAGAACGCUGCUCACCACCAUGGUCUCCGAAAUUCCGAUGAGAGUCGACCUCUCCUCUCUGAACUCACUUCUGGUCGAGCACUAGUCCCCUCAGCCCACUCUCGAUCUCGUCGUUGCUGCUGCGUUCCUCCCGGCGGCAGGUGAAGGCCCGUCGAUCCUCUGCUGUUGUCGGAGUUCGAUGGGGCAGUAAGUGUUUGCCGUCGCCAUCGUCGUCUCAGCUUCGACCGAACGGAGCAACCGCCCUUCUAAAAGCUAAGUCUUUGCUCUAUUUUCCUCUUCUUCUUUGUAUAAGUCUUUAUAUACACAAUGGUGUGUGGUUUGAGGUUAAAGGGGUCUCUUUUGUG